GACGAACGCUGGCGGCACGCCUAACACAUGCAAGUCGAACGGGGUAUUGGAUGCUUGCAUCAAAUACCUAGUGGCGGACGGGUGAGUAACACGUGAGCAACCUGCCUCUCAGAGGGGGAUAACGUUUGGAAACGAACGCUAAUACCGCAUGAAAUAUUGGUAUCGCAUGGUGCUGAUAUCAAAGGAGCAAUCCGCUGAGAGAUGGGCUCGCGUCCGAUUAGAUAGUUGGCGGGGUAACGGCCCACCAAGUCGGCGAUCGGUAGCCGGACUGAGAGGUUGAACGGCCACAUUGGGACUGAGACACGGCCCAGACUCCUACGGGAGGCAGCAGUGGGGGAUAUUGCACAAUGGGGGAAACCCUGAUGCAGCGAUGCCGCGUGAGUGAAGACGGCCUUCGGGUUGUAAAGCUCUGUCGCAGAGGACGAAAAUGACGGUACUCUGUAAGAAAGCUCCGGCUAACUACGUGCCAGCAGCCGCGGUAAUACGUAGGGAGCAAGCGUUGUCCGGAAUUACUGGGUGUAAAGGGAGCGUAGGCGGGAGGAUAAGUUGAAUGUGAAAUCUAUGGGCUCAACCUAUAGCUGCGUUCAAAACUGUUCUUCUUGAGUGAAGUAGAGGCAGGCGGAAUUUCCUUGUGUUGGCGGUAAAAUGCGUAGAUAUUAGGAGGAACACCAGUGGCGAAGGCGGCCUGCUGGGUUUUUACUGACGCUGAGGCUCGAAAGCGUGGGUAGCAAACAGGAUUAGAUACCCUGGUAGUCCACGCGGUAAACGAUGAUUACUAGGUGUGGGUGGACUGACCCCAUCCGUGCCGGAGUUAACACAAUAAGUAAUCCACCUGGGGAGUACGGCCGCAAGGUUGAAACUCAAAGGAAUUGACGGGGGCCCGCACAAGCAGUGGAGUAUGUGGUUUAAUUCGACGCAACGCGAAGAACCUUACCAGGUCUUGACAUCAAGUGACGGAUGUAGAGAUACAUCUUCCCUUCGGGGCACGAAGACAGGUGGUGCAUGGUUGUCGUCAGCUCGUGUCGUGAGAUGUUGGGUUAAGUCCCGCAACGAGCGCAACCCUUACCAUUAGUUGCUACGCAAGAGCACUCUAAUGGGACUGCCGUUGACAAAACGGAGGAAGGUGGGGAUGACGUCAAAUCAUCAUGCCCUUUAUGACCUGGGCGACACACGUACUACAAUGGCGAUGAACAGAGGGAGGCAAAACCGCGAGGUGGAGCAAACCCCUAAAAAUCGUCUCAGUUCGGAUUGUAGGCUGAAACCCGCCUGCAUGAAGUCGGAAUUGCUAGUAAUCGCGGAUCAGCAUGCCGCGGUGAAUAC
rnacentral:rRNA from 1 species